rnacentral:rRNA from 1 species
CAAUAGCGUAUAUUAAAGUUGUUGCAGUUAAAAAGCUCGUAGUUGGAUUUCUGGUGGGAGCGAUCGGUCUGGCGCUUAGCGCGAGUACUUGCAUCGUCUCCGGCCAUCCUUGGGGAGAGUCUGUCUGGCAUUAGGUUGUCGGGCAGAGGAUCCUCAUCGUUUACUGUGAAAAAAUUAGAGUGUUCAAAGCAGGCUUAUGCCGUUGAAUAUAUUAGCAUGGAAUAAUGAGAUAGGACCUCGGUACUAUUUUGUUGGUUUGCGCACCGGGGUAAUGAUUAACAGGGACAGUUGGGGGUAUUCGUAUUCCAUUGUCAGAGGUGAAAUUCUUGGAUUUCUGGAAGACGAACUACUGCGAAAGCAUUUACCAAGGAUGUUUUCAUUAA